UUGCUUUGGAAUGUUGCCUGAAAAACAGUUUUUCUUGUUUUAGCCUAAACAUUAACGCUUUCUCAAGGAGGAAUGAAUGAUCCAAAGGUAGCAAAGUAUUCAUACUUUUGAAAUAGGCCUACAUGACCUUUCCAUCUAUGAAGAGUAUUUGAUUUUAGCAUAGAUCUUUGUGCCUGAAUAAAAAGUCUAUUUGACCUCUUUUGGGCUCAAACCCCUGGCAGAUAAGAUCCACAUGUAUUAUGUAACUCAUGAAUUUGGCUUUCAUUUGACCAUGGAACUUUCCUUCAAAAAAUAAAUGAAGUGGUUUAAAGGUUACUAUGAUGAACAAAAAGCAUUCACAAGAGGUCAACACCUAGACUUUGAUAACUAAAAAACAUUCAUUUUCUAGCUUAAGUUCACAAAUCAUAAAUAUAAUACUCACUGCCUACCAAGAUGUUCGAAUGUCUUGUUGCUGUAUGCAUGCAGUAAAGAACAAAUUAACAAGUAUACAUAUAUUUAUAUAAAAGGUACCAAGUAAUGGGUAAUGAGUUGUAUAUAACUAGUUGUUUAUAUGUUUGCAGUAUUUACAUAAUUUCAAGUUGUACUAUUAUUUCCACCAGGUUUUGAACCAGGGUCUCCCACCAGAGUGGCAUAUGUGAUGACCACUACACUAUAGAAAUAUAUCUUGCACAUCUGAAAAUUUAUUUCCAUUUUUAAAAUGUUUUUACCUUUGCAUUUAUAUUUACAUUCUCCCUCUGCUUUUCUUAUCACAUCGGAAAUUAAUGUAGUAGUGUCAUUAUUUGUCAUUAUUACUUUUAAUAUAUUUGUGGUAUUUAGCUAUACGCGUUCGUAUGUAACGGAAAUCAGCCUUCCGUGUAAUUUUGUACGUCACGCAUUGCGGCAAAACUUUCAGCGCGCGCGCGGAAAUAGCACGCGUAAAUGCGAGUAAGGUACUGAGCGGAUGUGAUGUAAUGUGUUGUAAACCUGUUUGUCCAGUACGUAUUGUCUAUGUAUAGAAUACCUAGUGUGGAAUGUAGAGUAAUUUAACUGGUGCACUGGUCACUUUGAACAUAGCGGCCAGAGCGAGCACAGCGAACAUUUGUACACCUAUAUCUUUACCUAGCCAGCAUAGGAAUUAAAAGAGGUAGCGGGCACUAGAGCCAAAAGCAAAUAAUCUUACAUUGAACGAGUAAGACUGAGGACUCGGCGGACUUUGUCCGAGAAAACCCUCUUCACAUUGAAGAGGGUUUUUACUUACGUAAUAAAUUAACUGAGAAAAGAACCCAGGAGUUGUCGUAUAUCCACGAUAAAAGACGACUAUUACA